GAUGAAGAACGCAGCGAAAUGCGAUGAGUAGUGUGAAUUGCAGAAUUCAGUGAAUCAUCGAAUCUUUGAACGCACAUUGCGCCUCCUGGUAUUCCGGGAGGCAUGCCUGUCCGAGCGUCAUUAAACCACAUAAACCUUUCAGUUUUGAGAGGUUUGCUUUUGAGGGAUGAGUGAUCGAUUCUUUUUUAGUAUCUGGACGCUCCCCCUAGAAUUUGAAUGGCGGGCCCGAAUUAAAAAAAAUACAAAUCUUUCAUGGCUGAGGACCGACGGGUGUAGUAGCAGUUAAGAAAUUUUCUCACCACCCCUACAGUUCUCGAUAGCAGAGAGGUUAGUAGUUUAAUUCGAGUCCAGCCGAAAAUCUGAUGAUUUCGUCAUUCUUUUUUUCUUUUUUUUGACCUCGGAUCAGGUAGGGAUACCCGCUGAACUUAAGCAUAUCAAUAAGCGGAGGA
rnacentral:misc_RNA from 1 species